UCUCGACUAGUAUAUCGGUUUAGUACACGCGCCUGUCAUUGGAGUUGUCUGAGCUAAUGCGGUCGCGCGAAAGCUGGGUUCGACUCCCAGGUCGAGAG